AUUUAUAUCCAUUUUUAAGGAGAAAAAAAACUUAUUAUGGGAUUGAGAAAAGUGCUAAGCAAGGGCAGAUUUAUGUUUUUAUUUAAUUUGAAGUUUUAAUUACUUACGCAAUCGUUUUGAAUUUGAAUUUUAAUCCAAAUUGAUCUGAUUUGCAUGAAAUAUUCUGUGAAACAAUUGAAUUUUGGGCUUUCCACAACAUCAAUUUACAUAUUGAAUUUUGGCUUUCCACAGCAUCAACUCUUAGGAUUUAUUUUUUUCGUCAUCAAUUGGCAUUUGUUUAGAUCAGACCUCAAAUUCAACAGCAAAUAGGUCGGAGAUGUUCCUAAUAUAUACAUGGUUGCUACACUAAUGUUGCUGUACAAUGCUAGCCAACAAUUAAUGAGGUUUAAGUAAACACCGGCUCAGAUUUCCUUUUUGAGGUAUAUGGAAGAAUCUUAAUAGGGCAUGCAUAAGUAUUUGGUGCUUGCAUUAUUAGAUCGGGUUUGACCCUGUUCCGGUUCUAUCUGUGCGUUGGCUAUGAUCAGGUCUACAUUUCAUGAAAAGUUUCUGCUCUACCAUAUCAAAUCAAAGAACUCCUUCCAUAGUGCUUGCAGUACUAUACAUUGGGCAGUAUGUUAAUAACUUAUAAGAACUGCCUUCUCAUUCGUGAAUAGGGGCUUUGCACGAGAGACUGGAAUAUCUGAGAGACUGGAAUAUCUGAUGGUGUGAAAGAAGAGAAAGCACAGUGUAUUUGGUGCUCACUUUUUAUGAUUCAUGUGCAUCAUAUAAUAAUGUAAGAGCAGGAUUAGGAUUUCCUUUUGUCGAUACAAUGACUGAAGAAGUAAGAGUAAAUGGUCAGUUCUAAUUUGUUGGGUGCGAUGAUGGAGAAGACAAACAAGAGAAGUCGAAUUAGUAUUUGUAUUUCUUUGGCUCAAAUGCAGGGGUGUAUAUGGCUGUUCAAUGUGCAUUUAGUUGUCUAUAUAUUUUCUGUAUUAUUUUUGUUUGAAACCAAUGUAUUUGAAGUGCAUGGAGUAUGAUUGCUAGUAGAAGCAAUUGGCAGAAAACCAAGAGUACACCUAGAGGACGCAAAGGUAAAUACUCGAAUGCGCAGGAUACGAUCACGAAAGAAAAUACCAAAACCUUAUUUUAAGUACGAGUUGAAUUUAUUGCAUCGCGAAUUGUAUAUACAGUUUAGACUUUUACUACUUGGCAAGUACAUAUUUGUUGUUUGGUUUUA